AGUUUGAUGCCUGGCUCAGAUUGAGCGCUGGCGGUGUGCUUAACACAUGCAAGUCGAACGGAAACGAUACUAGCUUGCUAGUAGGCGUCGAGUGGCGGACGGGUGAGUAACGCGUAGGAAUCUGCCUGAUAGUGGGGGAUAGCCCGAAGAAAUUCGGAUUAAUACCGCAUAAUCUAUUCGUAGUAAAGUGGGGGACUUUCGAGCCUCACGCUAUCAGAUGAGCCUGCGUAAGAUUAGCUAGUUGGUAGGGUAAAAGCCUACCAAGGCAACGAUCUUUAGCUGGUCUGAGAGGAUGAUCAGCCACAUCGGGACUGAGACACGGCCCGAACUCCUACGGGAGGCAGCAGUGGGGAAUAUUGGACAAUGGGGGCAACCCUGAUCCAGCAAUACCGCGUGUGUGGAGAAGGCCUGAGGGUUGUAAAGCACUUUCAAUUGUGAAGAAAAGUUAACGGUUAAUAACCGUUAGCCUUGACGUUAACUUUAGAAGAAGCACCGGCUAACUCCGUGCCAGCAGCCGCGGUAAUACGGAGGGUGCAAGCGUUAAUCGGAAUUACUGGGCGUAAAGCGUGCGUAGGCGGUUUAUUAAGUCAGAUGUGAAAGCCCCGGGCUUAACCUGGGAACUGCAUUUGAAACUGGUCAACUAGAGUAUGGUAGAGGAAAGUGGAAUUUCUGGUGUAGCGGUGAAAUGCGUAGAUAUCAGAAGGAACAUCAAUGGCGAAGGCAGCUUUCUGGACCAAUACUGACGCUGAGGUACGAAAGCGUGGGUAGCAAACAGGAUUAGAUACCCUGGUAGUCCACGCCGUAAACGAUGAUAACUAGCCGUUGGGGGGAUUUACCCUUUAGUGGCGAAGCUAACGCGUUAAGUUAUCCGCCUGGGGAGUACGGCCGCAAGGUUAAAACUCAAAGGAAUUGACGGGGACCCGCACAAGCGGUGGAGCAUGUGGUUUAAUUCGAUGCAACGCGAAGAACCUUACCUGGUCUUGACAUCCUGCGAACUUUCUAGAAAUAGAUUGGUGCCUUCGGGAACGCAGUGACAGGUGCUGCAUGGCUGUCGUCAGCUCGUGUCGUGAGAUGUUGGGUUAAGUCCCGUAACGAGCGCAACCCCUAUCCUUAUUUGCCAGCACGUCAUGGUGGGAACUAUAAGGAGACUGCCGGUGAUAAACCGGAGGAAGGCGGGGACGACGUCAAGUCAUCAUGGCCCUUACGACCAGGGCUACACACGUGCUACAAUGGGAAGGACAAAGAGCCGCGAAGCCGCGAGGUGUAGCUAAUCUCAGAAACCUUUUCGUAGUCCGGAUUGGAGUCUGCAACUCGACUCCAUGAAGUCGGAAUCGCUAGUAAUCGUAGAUCAGAAUGCUACGGUGAAUACGUUCCCGGGUCUUGCACACACCGCCCGUCA
rnacentral:rRNA from 1 species